rnacentral:rRNA from 1 species
UAGCGACAGGCCUAACACAUGCAAGUCAGGGGCAGCACAAGGAGCAAUCUGAGGUGGCGACCGGCGCACGGGUGAGUAACACGUAUGCAACCUGCCUGUAAGCGGGGAAUAACCCGUUGAAAGACGGACUAAUACCGCAUAAUACUAAAUUACUGCAUGGUAAUUUAUUUAAACAUUUAUGGCUUACAGAUGGGCAUGCGCAUGAUUAGCUAGUUGGAGAGGUAACGGCUCCCCAAGGCAACGACCAUUAGGGGUUCUGAGAGGAAGGUCCCCCCACACUGGUACUGAGACACGGACCAGACUCCUACGGGAGGCAGCAGUGAGGAAUAUUGGUCAAUGGACGAGAGUCUGAACCAGCCAAGUCGCGUGCAGGAAGAAUUGUCCUAUGGAUUGUAAACUGCUUUUGCAGGGGAAUAAAGUGCAUCACGUGUGAUGUUUUGUAUGUACUCUGCGAAUAAGGAUCGGCUAACUCCGUGCCAGCCGCCGC